rnacentral:tRNA from 1 species
GGAUGUGGCUCAGUGGUAAAGUGCCUGCUUAGCACGCACAGAGUCCUGGGUUCAAACCCCAGGACCUCCA